rnacentral:lncRNA from 1 species
UUAAGUGAUAGUUUGUUUCAUGUCUACUAUCCAAUGUGAUACAUUUCUAUAUGAUUCCUUUGAAUAUGAAUUGGAACAAACUUCCUAAGUCAUAUUCAUUUGCUUUGGCCAAAGACUUACGAACCAUAUCUUAGAGUAUUCUCCUUCCACCAUGGAAGGUUAGAGAUCCCUUGUUGUGCAUUCAUAUGCCUACAUGACUAGAUAGCUUGACCCCAACAAUGUCGUGGACACUCCGAUGGAAUGCUGUUGACAUGAUCAAAGAUCAAGGACCUAACCAUUAGACAUUUAUGAUGCCUCAGGUCAAAGGACUACUUUGCAUAUUGCAACUUUCGAGUUCUUACAUGACAUGUAUGUU